CUCGCCACGGUAACACCGAGGGUGCGAGCGUUAAUCGGAUUUACUGGGCGUAAAGCGUGCGUAGGCGGCUUCUUAAGUCGGAUGUGAAAUCCCUGAGCUUAACUUAGGAAUUGCAUUCGAUACUGGGAAGCUAGAGUAUGGGAGAGGAUGGUAGAAUUCCAGGUGUAGCGGUGAAAUGCGUAGAGAUCUGGAGGAAUACCGAUGGCGAAGGCAGCCAUCUGGCCUAAUACUGACGCUGAGGUACGAAAGCAUGGGGAGCAAACAGGAUUAGAUACCCGCGUAGUCCCUGUCUCUUAUACAC
rnacentral:rRNA from 1 species